CCGUCAUGGAGUCUACAAGGAAGAGCAAUGAUGGCGGACUCCUAUGAGGCUAGGAUAAAAAAGCAGUCAUGGAUGCUCUGAAGUACAGAUAUUGGCGAGAGAGUUUGUAUAUAAACCUGCAUGGUGGUGGAGUCCACGUGGAAAGCUGGUAUCUCACCCACCACAACUUAGAAGCCGAAGCCAACACACCGUCACGUACCAACCCUUUCAUCAUCAUCAUCAACGAAGCAAUUGCAACUUUGGGAGGACUUUGAUGGUUACCAUUGAGAGGCGACAUGGUUAACAGUCCAGGUUCCACAGGCAGAUCUGUCUGGGCGCCACGAAUCCUUCUUCACCAUUGGUUUGGGUAAAC
rnacentral:lncRNA from 1 species